CUGCAUCCACUGACAGACCUUGAACACUUUGCCAUUGUUCCCUUGGUUUGCACUAGGAUGCAAAAGAAAAAUCCCUGCGCUUUCUGUCUGUCUUUGUGGCAGUCCAGAUUGAAUUGGGGAAUACAUUU